rnacentral:ncRNA from 3 species
CUCAAAUCAGGUAGGACUACCCGCUGA